AUUGUUUGAUCCUGGCUCAGGAUGAACGCCGGGCGGUGUGCCUAAUACAUGCAAGUCGUACGCACUGGCCCAACUGAUUGAUGGUGCUUGCACUGAUUGACGAUGGAUCACCAGUGAGUGGCGGACGGGUGAGUAACACGUAGGUAACCUGCCCCGGAGCGGGGGAUAACAUUUGGAAACAGAUGCUAAUACCGCAUAACAACAAAAGCCACAUGGAUUUUGUUUAAAAGAUGGCUUUGGCUAUCACUCUGGGAUGGACCUGCGGUGCAUUAGCUAGUUGGUAAGGUAACGGCUUACCAAGGCGAUGAUGCAUAGCCGAGUUGAGAGACUGAUCGGCCACAAUGGAACUGAGACACGGUCCAUACUCCUACGGGAGGCAGCAGUAGGGAAUCUUCCACAAUGGGCGCAAGCCUGAUGGAGCAACACCGCGUGAGUGAAGAAGGGUUUCGGCUCGUAAAGCUCUGUUGUUGGAGAAGAACGUGCGUGAGAGUAACUGUUCACGCAGUGACGGUAUCCAACCAGAAAGUCACGGCUAACUACGUGCCAGCAGCCGCGGUAAUACGUAGGUGGCAAGCGUUAUCCGGAUUUAUUGGGCGUAAAGCGAGCGCAGGCGGUUGCUUAGGUCUGAUGUGAAAGCCUUCGGCUUAACCGAAGAAGUGCAUCGGAAACCGGGCGACUUGAGUGCAGAAGAGGACAGUGGAACUCCAUGUGUAGCGGUGGAAUGCGUAGAUAUACGGAAGAACACCAGUGGCGAAGGCGGCUGUCUGGUCUGCAACUGACGCUGAGGCUCGAAAGCAUGGGUAGCGAACAGGAUUAGAUACCCUGGUAGUCCAUGCCGUAAACGAUGAGUGCUAGGUGUUGGAGGGUUUCCGCCCUUCAGUGCCGGAGCUAACGCAUUAAGCACUCCGCCUGGGGAGUACGACCGCAAGGUUGAAACUCAAAGGAAUUGACGG
rnacentral:rRNA from 1 species